AUCUAGCUAUUGACGAGUGCCAAAUAGGACGAAACACGGUUUGUCCUAGAU
rnacentral:hammerhead_ribozyme from 1 species